rnacentral:lncRNA from 1 species
UAAAAUUCAAAGCAACACGGGUUCAUACCCAAACAAGCUCAAGCAAUGUACUUUUAGGUGUUUCUUAUUGUAGUAAUUAGGUCAGUCUACCCCUUUCGAUCUGUGUGCGUGUGUAUGUCUUCCCCGCUUAGUUUUCUGCUACUAGGGCUUUUGGCUUACGGUAGAUCGAGAAUAUGAUUAACACAUCUGCUUUUGUCUCUCAAGUAAGAGAGAUCGAGGAAAAUAAAAAAAAUCAGAAGAUGGCCGAUUUCUUGUGUACGUGCGACUGAUCCUCAAGUCCUAGAGUGAGGGGGGUUGUCGAUGGUGCUGGUGAAGGGUUUUAGAUAGGGUUUGUAGUGUGACGAUGGCUUGCUGGUUGGGAACGGUGCGUUCAGAUGGCUGAGAGGGUGGCUCUGGUCCGUUUAUGGUAUUCGUCGGUGGCUGUUGUCGUGAAGAAGAAGAGUGGCAGCGGCUAUUGAUUUUUGGAGUUUCGGCGAGUUGCUAGUUUUUAGAGUUCUCUAGGGUUUUUGUGUUUUGUGAAGGUUGAAGAAGAGGAAGGAGAUGCAGGGGUGGGUGAGGGAGUUGGGUAUUGGCGUGAGUUUAGGAGGGAGUGGGCUGCGACUAGGGUGGCGUGACGACGAGGGGAGGCGAC